CAGUCUGGCCUCAACUGCCACCGCUGGGUGGAGAAGAAGGGGUGUGAGGAGAGAAACAGGAGGAGGUGUGUAUGUGUGUGUGUGUGUGUGUGUGUGUGUGUGUGUGUGUGUGUGUGUGUGUGUGUGUGUGUGUGUGUGUGUGUGUGUGUUUCAGAUGAAACUCAAACACGAAAGGACAUGGAGUGUAAAAAGGCAUCAAUGCCAGUGUGUAUGUGUGUGUGUGUGUGUGUGUGUGUGUGUGUAAGUAGAUGCCUGUGUGUAUGUAUGUGUGUGUGUAGAUG